CAGAAAUCCUAAUUCCUAAAUUAAGAAACCCUAACCUUAGGCCCCCUCACCACAGCCGCACCCCACCCCCCUUUCACCCCUUCAGUGCAACAAUUUCAGAAACGGGAAAUUAGAGAGGGAGAGUAAGGGAACGGAGAAGAGAAGGGAGGGGUGGGGACUGUCCGCCGUCACUGCCACCAUCUUGGAACAUGUCGUCGAUGCCGAUGCAGAGAGGGGGAUGAGGUACCACCGUGCUCUUCGCCGCCGCUGUCGAGCCACGCGUUGCUGCCAUUCUUGUGCCACCGCCGUCGCCCUCAUCGCUGCUUUAUGGAGCCCGCAGAGAGGAACGCGAACCAGGAUCCUCCGUGUCGCACCGCCGAUCUGUCACAGUGCUACUGCGUCACCAUCACGCCAGGGUGCUGCUGUUGAAGUCAUUCCUGCCGCCGCUGCUACUAGGGUUUGUCGCCGUUGAUGAAGCUUCAGCCGCCGCUGAGGAAGGGAGCUCGAAGGUCGUCGCUGGGAAGGAGGAUUGGCCGUCACCGAACAGAACGCGACAGUACUGAGAGACAUCACCAUUGUUGACAUCGGAGCUCGACAAGGGCUGUAGCGCCGUCGCCAAACCACCGUGCCGCCGUAGCUGUCUCCGAGAAGGUCGUUGGAGCUUGCUGAGGAUAUUGUUCUGGUUCUGAAGCAAUUCAUCCAUGUCAAUGCUCAUUUUUAUCCCCUGUUCUGCCUCCGCCACUGGGUUCUGUGAGUUGCCGGAGCUCUCUGCCACCGGGAACCAACAUUCGAGCUGCCCAGGAAACCACCAUUAGAACCACUACUGUUUUGAGAUUAUUGUAAAUUACCUUGCCGCCGCCGUUACUGGAGGUAGCUGCCGGCUCUAUUUGGAGACUGCUGCUAAGUCACCACCAAAGCUAAGAACAUGUGCUGGGAUCUGAUGCGGUACCGCUGCUGCUAUGGAUUCGUAAUAUUGGGUUUACCGUGUUUAAAUUCUUCAAUUACGGUUAAUUGAGUGACACAGGUUUGAAGACUCUGUUUGAAGCUGCGGGCGAUUAUAGAACUUAUUUACGAGUUAAGUUUAUGACUUGAGUUUCUUUCAUAGAGUUCCCUCGCCUUUGUAGCUUUAGUUUUUAUUUUAUGUAGAGGGAUAGGAGUUGUAUCUGAAUUUUAUUUAAAUUCUUUUGUAUAAUAUUUAUUAUUAUUAAU